UACGUAGGGCGCAAGCGUUGUCCGGAAUUAUUGGGCGUAAAGAGCUCGUAGGCGGUCUGUUACGUCCGCUGUGAAAACCCAGGGCUUAACCCUGGGCUUGCAGUGGAUACGGGCAGACUAGAGGCAGGUAGGGGAGAAUGGAAUUCCCGGUGUAGCGGUGAAAUGCGCAGAUAUCAGGAAGAACACCAAUGGCGAAGGCAGCUCUCUGGGACGGUACUGACACUGAGACGCGAAAGCGUGGGGGAGCGAACAGG
rnacentral:rRNA from 1 species